GACGAACGCUGGCGGCGUGCUUAACACAUGCAAGUCGAACGGAAAGGCCCUGCUUUUGUGGGGUGCUCGAGUGGCGAACGGGUGAGUAACACGUGAGUAACCUGCCCUUGACUUUGGGAUAACUUCAGGAAACUGGGGCUAAUACCGUAUAGGAGCUCCUGCUGCAUGGUGGGGGUUGGAAAGUUUCGGCGGUUGGGGAUGGACUCGCGGCUUAUCAGCUUGUUGGUGGGGUAGUGGCUUACCAAGGCUUUGACGGGUAGCCGGCCUGAGAGGGUGACCGGCCACAUUGGGACUGAGAUACGGCCCAGACUCCUACGGGAGGAAGCAGUGGGGAAUAUUGCACAAUGGGCGGAAGCCUGAUGCAGCAACGCCGCGUGCGGGAUGACGGCCUUCGGGUUGUAAACCGCUUUCGCCUGUGACGAAGCGUGAGUGACGGUAAUGGGUAAAGAAGCACCGGCUAACUACGUG
rnacentral:rRNA from 1 species